rnacentral:rRNA from 1 species
GAGGAACGCUGGCGGCGUGCGUAACACAGGCAAGUCGAGCGGGAAAGCUGCUGCGGGUACAGAAGGGGCGGACGGCUGAGUAAAGCGUAGGAACAGACAGUAAAGUGAGGGGUAAGACACUGAGAGAUGUUCUAAUACCGCAUACGGUCUUCGGAUUACAGCAUUUAUGCGCUGAAGGAGUGGCCUGCGUCAUAUUAGAUAGUUGGUGAGGUAAUGGCUCACCAAGUCGAUGAUUUGUAGCUGGUCUGAGAGGAUGAUCAGCCAGACUGGAACUGAGACACGGUCCAGACUCCUACGGGAGGCAGCAGUGAGGAAUAUUGCACAAUGCGCGAAAGAUUGAUGGAGCAACGCCGUGUGCAGGAAGAAGGCUCUCGCGUUGUAAAGUUCUUUCCUAGGGGAAGAUAAUGACCGUAACGUAUUAAUAAGGGACGGCUAACUAAGUG